UACAGAGGGGGCAAGCGUUGUUCGGAAUUACUGGGCGUAAAGGGCGCGUAGGCGGCCCGCUAAGUCGAACGUGAAAUCCCUGGGCUCAACCCAGGAACUGCGUCCGAUACUGGCAGGCUUGAAUCCGGGAGAGGGAUGCGGAAUUCCAGGUGUAGCGGUGAAAUGCGUAGAUAUCUGGAGGAACACCGGUGGCGAAGGCGGCAUCCUGGGCCGGUAUUGACGCUGAGGCGCGAAAGCCAGGGGAGCAAACGGG
rnacentral:rRNA from 1 species